CGCCAGCUAAGGCCCCCAAUGCGUGGCUAAGUGGAAAACGAGGUGGGAAGGCAUAGACAGCCAGGAGGUUGGCUUAGAAGCAGCCAUCCUUUAAAGAAAGCGUAAUAGCUCACUGGUCGAGUCGUCCUGCGCGGAAGAUGUAACGGGGCUCAAGCCACGAGCCGAAGCUGCGGAUAUGUCGUAAGACAUAUGGUAGGGGAGCGUUCUGUAAGUCUGCGAAGGUGUCUGGUAACGGAUGCUGGAGAUAUCAGAAGUGCGAAUGCUGACAUGAGUAGCGAUAAAGCGGGUGAAAGGCCCGCUCGCCGAAAGCCCAAGGUUUCCUACGCAACGUUCAUCGGCGUAGGGUGAGUCGGCUCCUAAGGCGAGGCCGAAAGGCGUAGUCGAUGGGAAACAGGUCAAUAUUCCUGUACCAAUCCAUGAUGCGAUGGGGGGACGGAGAAGGUUAUAGCAGCCGGGUGUUGGACGUCCCGGUUUAAGCAGGUAGGCGUGCUGCGUAGGCAAAUCCGCGCGGCUUAGCCGAGAUGUGAUGACGAGGAGCCACGUGCUCUGAAGUGCUAGAUACCACGCUUCCAGGAAAAGCCUCUAAGCUUCAGUCAUGGAUUGACCGUACCGCAAACCGACACAGGUGGGCAGGAUGAAAAUUCUCAGGCGCUUGAGAGAACCCAGGAGAAGGAACUCGGCAAAUUGAUACCGUAACUUCGGGAGAAGGUAUGCCCUCAGUAGGUAAAGUCCCUCGCGGAUGGAGCCCAACGGGGUCGCAGAGAAUCGGUGGCUGCGACUGUUUAAUAAAAACACAGCACUCUGCAAACACGAAAGUGGACGUAUAGGGUGUGACGCCUGCCCGGUGCCGGAAGGUUAAGUGAUGGGGUGCAAGCUCUUGAUCGAAGYCYCGGUAAACGGCGGCCGUAACAAUAACGGUCCUAAGGUAGCGAAAUUCCUUGUCGGGUAAGUUCCGACCUGCACGAAUGGCGUAACGAUGGCCACACUGUCUCCUCCUGGGACUCAGCGAAGUUGAAAUGUUUGUGAAGAUGCAAUCUCCCCGCGGCUAGACGGAAAGACCCCAUGAACCUUUACUGUAGCUUUGCAUUGGACUUUGACGGGACUUGUGUAGGAUAGGUGGGAGGCUGUGAGACGUGGUCGCCAGAUCACGAGGAGCCAUCCUUGAAAUACCACCCUGGUGUCGUUGAGGUUCUAACCUAGGCCCGUGAAUCCGGGUCGGGGACCGUGCAUGGCAGGCAGUUUGACUGGGGCGGUCUCCUCCUAAAAGGUAACGGAGGAGUUCGAAGGUUCGCUUGGUACGGUCGGACAUCGUACCUAAAAGUGCAAUGGCAAAAGCGAGCUUGACCACGAGGACUCGGCGGCGGACUCGAGGCAGGACGAGGACGCGUCGUCGGAGGACGGCGAGGAGCAGUUGCUGGUGGGGGCGGAUGAUGACGUGGCG
rnacentral:rRNA from 1 species